CGGAGGCCGUGGGCGCCUUGACGAGGGCGCGGCGGCGGGAAUGCACAACGUUAUGCUCAUCACCUGCGUCCACCACUGUCACCCCUGACGGCGAGACGCGAGGUGCUAAGGGCUUGUCCAGGCUAAGCGGGUUCUCUGCGUCCUUAAGCCCACUUUGCAGAUGCUAAUCAGAGGGGACAGGCGGCCAAGAACCUGGAGCCCACCCGGGCGUCUGUGCCCAGUGCCGACCGUCUAAAUUCCCUUCCCACGUGGCUCCUGUUGCGUCUGGGCUGUGGAGGAUUCCUCUAAACAGGCACAGCCACCCUCUGGAGGUCGGAUCCGCAGCUGCUUGCCCGGUUCUACUAUGCCGACGAGGAGCUGAACCAGGUGGCCGCGGAGCUGGACAGCCUGGAUGGGCGGAAGGACCCCCAGCGGUGCACGCUGCUGGUCAGCCAGUUCCGCUCCUGUCAGCAAUCAGUGGGUCCUAAGGAAGUAAUCCACACUCGGAGCAUCGUGCACCACAGUAGUGAGGGCAGCAUUGCGUGGAGGUGGAGGAUUAGGCACAUCGUCAGUGUCCAGCAGAAGACAAAGGAGUGAGUUAACAGGACGGUCCAUAUGCUGGAAUUGCAUGUCACUAUCCAUCAAAAAUUGUAUAUGUGACAGAUGUAAUAACAUGUUGCAGCAGCUACAACAGCAGAAGGCAGUAUUACGUACAUGGAUCGUCUCAACGUUGGCUGAAAACAGGCCCUCGGAAGAUGAGAAUUAGAAGGAACUGUGUCCCACCUGCGGUCAUAUUUCCCCAAGGACAUUUUCCCCACUUCUCUCCUUUCCCAUUGGUUCCAGUUUUCCUAGGAUGAACGUGUAUUGAUUUCAUAUUUAACAAAUUAAAGCAAAAGUUAAACUUCCAGUGUUUUUGUAACCUACAGAAUGAAUAGUCAAUGUUUAAAGAAUAGGACAAAUUUACAGAAAAGGAUGGAAUGCAAUUUAAGAUGUAAAAAAAUGGGCUUCUUCUCCCUCAUAUACACAAAGUGUUCAAAACACUCUGUUAUACUUUAUAUUUU
rnacentral:lncRNA from 10 species